GGGUGCGAUCAUACCAGCACUAAUGCACCGGAUCCCAUCAGAACUCUGCAGUUAAGGAGAACUAGGAUGGGUGACCUCCUGGGAAGUCCUCGUGUUGCACCCC
rnacentral:rRNA from 1 species